AUUGAACGCUGGCGGCAGGCCUAACACAUGCAAGUCGAACGGUAACAGGAAGCAGCUUGCUGCUUCGCUGACGAGUGGCGGACGGGUGAGUAAUGUCUGGGAAGCUGCCUGAUGGAGGGGGAUAACUACUGGAAACGGUAGCUAAUACUGCAUAAUGUCGCAAGACCAAAGAGGGGGACCUUCGGGCCUCUUGCCAUCGGAUGUGCCCAGAUGGGAUUAGCUUGUUGGUGGGGUAACGGCUCACCAAGGCGACGAUCCCUAGCUGGUCUGAGAGGAUGACCAGCCACACUGGAACUGAGACACGGUCCAGACUCCUACGGGAGGCAGCAGUGGGGAAUAUUGCACAAUGGGCGCAAGCCUGAUGCAGCCAUGCCGCGUGUAUGAAGAAGGCCUUCGGGUUGUAAAGUACUUUCAGCGGGGAGGAAGGGAGUAAAGUUAAUACCUUUGCUCAUUGACGUUACCCGCAGAAGAAGCACCGGCUAACUCCGUGC
rnacentral:rRNA from 1 species